rnacentral:rRNA from 1 species
GCCGGCGGCGUGCCUAAUACAUGCAAGUCGAACGGUCUUUCUAUGGAAGCUUGCUUCCACUGAGAAGAUAGUGGCGAACGGGUGAGUAACACGUGGGUAACCUGCCCAUAAGAGGGGGAUAACAUCCGGAAACGGGUGCUAAUACCGCAUAGUUUUCUUGAUCGCAUGAUCGGGAAAGGAAAGACGGCCUUUGUGCUGUCGCUUAUGGAUGGACCCGCGGCGUAUUAGUUAGUUGGUGAGGUAACGGCUCACCAAGACGAUGAUACGUAGCCGACCUGAGAGGGUGAUCGGCCACAUUGGGACUGAGACACGGCCCAAACUCCUACGGGAGGCAGCAGUAGGGAAUCUUCCGCAAUGGACGAAAGUCUGACGGAGCAACGCCGCGUGAGUGAAGAAAGGUUUUCGGAUCGUAAAACUCUGUUGUCAGAGAAGAACAAGUUGGAGAGUAACUGCUCCAGCCUUGACGGUAUCUGACCAGAAAGCCACGGCUAACUACGUGCCAGCAGCGGC